UACGUAGGUGGCGAGCGUUGUCCGGAUUUACUGGGCGUAAAGGGAGCGUAGGCGGACUUUUAAGUGAGAUGUGAAAUACUCGGGCUCAACUUGAGUGCUGCAUUUCAAACUGGAAGUCUAGAGUGCAGGAGAGGAGAAUGGAAUUCCUAGUGUAGCGGUGAAAUGCGUAGAGAUUAGGAAGAACACCAGUGGCGAAGGCGAUUCUCUGGACUGUGACUGACGCUGAGGCUCGGAAGCGUGGGGAGCAAACAGG
rnacentral:rRNA from 1 species